GGAUGCACCGCGGUAUAAUCGCGAGCGUGUUUCAUCGGACCGAUGAAAGGCCCUUUGCAACAAGCUGCCUUGAAAGCCUGUCUUAUCAGGAAUUCGGCAAUCGGAAAUUCGCUCUGACGAAUCGAACCGUCGCGAUCGG